UACGGGGGGGGGCAAGCGUUGUUCGGAAUUACUGGGCGUAAAGGGCGCGUAGGCGGCCUUCUAAGUCGGACGUGAAAUCCCUCGGCUUAACCGAGGAACUGCGUCCGAUACUGAAAGGCUUGAAUCCGGGAGAGGGAUGUGGAAUUCCAGGUGUAGCGGUGAAAUGCGUAGAUAUCUGGAGGAACACCGGUGGCGAAGGCGGCAUCCUGGACCGGUAUUGACGCUGAGGCGCGAAAGCU
rnacentral:rRNA from 1 species